rnacentral:rRNA from 1 species
CACAGGUAACACGAGUGGUAUCCACGAAUAUUGAGUCUAAAGCGUCUGUAGCCGGCUCAGCCAGUUUUCUGUGAAAUCUUGGCGCUCGACGUCAAGGCGUGCAGGAAAUACUACUGAGCUUGGGAGUGGGGGAGGUAACGAGUACACUAGGGGGAACGGUAAAAUGUUGUAAUCCUUAGUGGACUACCGGUGGCGAAAGCGCGUUACCAAAACACGUCCGACGGUGAGAGACGAAGGCUAGGGGAGCGAAUCGG